UCAGGGGAUGCUGAAGUCAGAGUGGCUAUUCUUACAGUUAGUGAUACAGUUGCUAUGGGGGGUGGCCCAGAUAGAAGGAGACAAUUUGAAUGCCUUGUGAAAAGGGAAAAUCAAAUUUCUAAAAGGCUCUUAUAUAUGGGCACAAAGGUAAUAGUUGUUGAAUCAUAUUCCCAUUUGGAUAAUGCUGAAAGGCAUCUAGAUACACCUCUUUGAAUCAUUGUUUGAAAGGGGUCACAAAGUUGAUGCAAAACUAAAGAGCGAGCUUGAUGUUAGUCAAUGCCAAAAAGGGCAUUAGAACUACUGAGGGUCUUGCAACAGUCCCAAAUUUUAAGUGUUUAAAGAUAACAUUUAUGUUUUGGGAAUUGAUCUGUCAUAGUGUAGAACUGUGUUCAGUUGACUGCAUAAC